CACACCCGUUCCCAUACCGAACACGGAAGUUAAGCUCUUCAGCGCCAAUGGUAGUUGGGGGUUUCCCCCUGCAAGAGUAGGACGUCGCCGGGC
rnacentral:rRNA from 1 species